rnacentral:rRNA from 1 species
AGUCGAGGGGCAGCAUUUCAGUUUGCUUGCAAACUGGAGAUGGCGACCGGCGCACGGGUGAGUAACACGCUAUCCAACCUGCCGAUAACUCGGGGAUAGCCUUUCGAAAGAAAGAUUAAUACCCGAUGGUAUAAUCAGACCGCAUGGUCUUAUUAUUAAAGAAUUUCGGUUAUCGAUGGGGAUGCGUUCCAUUAGGCAGUUGGUGAGGUAACGGCUCACCAAACCUUCGAUGGAUAGGGGUUCUGAGAGGAAGGUCCCCCACAUUGGAACUGAGACACGGUCCAAACUCAUACGGGAGGCAGCAGUGAGGAAUAUUGGUCAAUGGGCGCAGGCCUGAACCAGCCAAGUAGCGUGAAGGAUGACUGCCCUAUGGGUUGUAAACUUCUUUUAUAUGGGAAUAAAGUUUUCCACGUGUGGAAUUUUGUAUGUACCAUAUGAAUAAGGAUCGGCUAACUCCGUGCCAGCAGCCGCGGUAAUACGGAGGAUCCGAGCGUUAUCCGGAUUUAUUGGGUUUAAAGGGAGCGUAGGUGGACAGUUAAGUCAGUUGUGAAAGUUUGCGGCUCAACCGUAAAAUUGCAGUUGAUACUGGCUGUCUUGAGUACAGUAGAGGUGGGCGGAAUUCGUGGUGUAGCGGUGAAAUGCUUAGAUAUCACGAAGAACUCCGAUUGCGAAGGCAGCUCACUGGACUGCAACUGACACUGAUGCUCGAAAGUGUGGGUAUCAAACAGGAUUAGAUACCCUGGUAGUCCACACAGUAAACGAUGAAUACUCGCUGUUUGCGAUAUACAGUAAGCGGCCAAGCGAAAGCAUUAAGUAUUCCACCUGGGGAGUACGCCGGCAACGGUGAAACUCAAAGGAAUUGACGGGGGCCCGCACAAGCGGAGGAACAUGUGGUUUAAUUCGAUGAUACGCGAGGAACCUUACCCGGGCUUAAAUUGCAUUUGAAUANUNUGGAAACAGNUUAGCCGCAAGGCAAAUGUGAAGGUGCUGCAUGGUUGUCGUCAGCUCGUGCCGUGAGGUGUCGGCUUAAGUGCCAUAACGAGCGCAACCCUUAUCUUUAGUUACUAACAGGUCAUGCUGAGGACUCUAGAGAGACUGCCGUCGUAAGAUGUGAGGAAGGUGGGGAUGACGUCAAAUCAGCACGGCCCUUACGUCCGGGGCUACACACGUGUUACAAUGGGGGGUACAGAAGGCAGCUACCUGGUGACAGGAUGCUAAUCCCAAAAGCCUCUCUCAGUUCGGAUCGAAGUCUGCAACCCGACUUCGUGAAGCUGGAUUCGCUAGUAAUCGCGCAUCAGCCAUGGCGCGGUGAAUACGUUCCCGGGCCUUGUACACACCGCCCGUCAAGCCAUGAAAGCCGGGGGUACCUGAAGUACGAACCGCAAGGAG